rnacentral:rRNA from 1 species
GAUGAACGCUGGCGGCGUGCCUAAUACAUGCCAGUCGAGCGAACAGACGAGGAGCUUGCUCCUCUGACGUUAGCGGCGGACGGGUGAGUAACACGUGGAUAACCUACCUAUAAGACUGGGAUAACUUCGGGAAACCGGAGCUAAUACCGGAUAAUAUAUUGAACCGCAUGGUUCAAUAGUGAAAGACGGUUUUGCUGUCACUUAUAGAUGGAUCCGCGCCGCAUUAGCUAGUUGGUAAGGUAACGGCUUACCAAGGCAACGAUGCGUAGCCGACCUGAGAGGGUGAUCGGCCACGCUGGAACUGAGACACGGUCCAGACUCCUACGGGAGGCAGCAGUAGGGAAUCUUCCGCAAUGGGCGAAAGCCUGACGGAGCAACGCCGCGUGAGUGAUGAAGGUCUUCGGAUCGUAAAACUCUGUUAUUAGGGAAGAACAAAUGUGUAGUAACUAUGCACGUCUUGACGGUACCUAAUCAGAAAGCCACGGCUAACUACGUG